rnacentral:rRNA from 1 species
UGGGGAAUAUUGCACAAUGGGCGCAAGCCUGAUGCAGCCAUGCCGCGUGUAUGAAGAAGGCCUUCGGGUUGUAAAGUACUUUCAGCGGGGAGGAAGGGAGUAAAGUUAAUACCUUUGCUCAUUGACGUUACCCGCAGAAGAAGCACCGGCUAACUCCGUGCCAGCAGCCGCGGUAAUACGGAGGGUGCAAGCGUUAAUCGGAAUUACUGGGCGUAAAGCGCACGCAGGCGGUUUGUUAAGUCAGAUGUGAAAUCCUCGGGCUCAACCUGGGAACUGCAUCUGAUACUGGCAAGCUUGAGUCUCGUAGAGGGGGGUAGAAUUCCAGGUGUAGCGGUGAAAUGCGUAGAGAUCUGGAGGAAUACCGGUGGCGAAGGCGGCCACCUGGACGAAGACUGACGCUCAGGUGCGAAAGCGUGGGGAGCAAACAGG